AGUGAACGCUGGCGGCGUGCCUAAUACAUGCAAGUCGAACGGAGUGGCGCACGGGUGAGUAAUGUAUAGCUAAUCUGCCCUACACUAGAGGACAACAGUUGGAAACGACUGCUAAUACUCUAUAGUGUAGGAUGAGGCUAUAUUGUAUCAGUUAGUUGGUGAGGUAAUGGCUCACCAAGGCUAUGACGCAUAACUGGUCUGAGAGGAUGAGCAGUCACACGUGAAGUGAGACACGGUCCGGACUCAUACGGGAGGCAGCAGAAGGGAGUAUUGCCCAAUGGGGGAAGCCCUGAAGCAGCAACGGCGCGUGGAGUAUGACACUUUUCGAAGCGUAAACUCCUGUUGUUAGGGAAGCGGUACCUAACGAAUAAGCACCGGCUAACUCCGUGCCAGCAGCCGCGGUAAUAC
rnacentral:rRNA from 1 species